rnacentral:misc_RNA from 1 species
AUAUUGGUACGCGAAGCUUCCAACCCGCCUCUGGCGGUUAUGUUUGGUCAAUUUCUUUUGACCGGGGUUUACGGACCCC